rnacentral:lncRNA from 1 species
GAUGGGGGUGACAGGUUCCCUGAGAUGACCCAGCAAACCGGGGGGCCCCUUCCCCUCAAACGCUGUUCUCCACAGUUUGACGGUUCUCAAGCCCCAUCCCCCAGUGCCCACGUCACUCUGCCAGCCCCUCCACCAUUCCUGAGCCCUGACUCACCAGGACUUGUGGUCCGCUCUGACCCCGGGCCUUUCCCCUGGGACCUAUUUCCCGCCUUUGUCUUCUUCAAGUUCAUUCACCAGGUCUUCCGUUCCCAGCAGCACUUGGCACUCCCUGAGACCCCCCACCCCCAUUCCCCACCACAGGUCUCAGCGGGGACCCCCUCCAGGCCUCUCACACCGGUCCCGACCACUUGGGGAUCCCCGGCCUCUGGGGAGGGGCAGUGACUGGAGGAAUUCUGGGGGAGGAGUUCAGCAGUGGGGGGAAGGGCGCCCAGAACUCCAAGUUGGAGGGGAAAGGCUCCUCGUCUGCCCCUAGAUCAAGCUCCCAAAGGCGGGGCCAUCUUUCUUUCUUCCUCCGUAAGUGGAGUCCCUAUAACAGAGCCUUAUUCUCCUCUGAACCCCACAGCUGGGUCCCAAGCUCAGGACCCACCACUCUGUACUUCCUCCAAAUCCGGUCUGAAGGGAGGACCUGUCCAUCCCCAAACCUGCUUGGGAAUCUGUGGGUGCCUGAUGCCCCAGCCCCAGCCUGGAUUCCCUGGAAGCCCCAGCCUCCCCGAGCCGCCCCUCCUGGACCCCUUAAUUACCCGCUGGGUGUAAAUGACACUUUAAUUUCCUCUGAAUGGUCGUUGCACCACCCCCCCCCACCUGCCACCCAUUCCUAAUUACAAGUUGCUGUUUCCGACUUGCCUCCUGGUGGCCCAAUUUCAAAACAGUGAUUAAAAUUAAUUACCCAGGAGCCCCCUCCCCAGAGGGGAGGAGGCCCAGGAGCCCCAGAGACAUAUCCAUGUCCCCACUGGAGGUUCUGCCUGGGCUCCCACACCCUGACUUCCCAAGUGGCCUGGGGACAGGGACAGCGUCUCUCUGGGUCUCUGCUUGCCUGUCUGUGAAGUACUUUAGCUGGCCAGAAGCGGUGGCUCACGCUUGUAAUCCCAACACUUUGGCAGGCCGAGGCAGGUGGAUCACUAGAGGUCAGGAGUUCGAGACCAGCCUGACCAACAUGGUGAAACCCCGUCUCUACUAAAAACACAAAAAUUAGCCGGGCAUGGUGGCACGUGCCUGUAGUCCCAACUACUUGGGAGGCUGUGGCAGGAGAAUCGCUUGAACCGGGAGGAGGAAGUUGCAGUGAACCUAGAUCGUACCACUGCACUCCAGCCUGGGUGACAGAGCGAGACUCUGUCUCAAUAAAGAAAAACAAAAUGUAGGGUGUGCCACCAUCAUGGGCAGGGAACGCGUUGUGAGCACUUGGUAAAUGUCAGCAAGAGGUGACCUCACACAGUGGCUCACACCUUUAAUCCCAACACUUCGGGAGGCUGAGGCAGGAGAAUCGUUUGAACCCAAGAGUUCAAGACCAGCCUGGGUAUCAUACCCCUCUCUACAAAAAAUUUGCCGGAUGUGGUGGUGCACACCUGUAGUCCCAGCUACUCAGGAGGUUGAGGCAGGAGGAUUGGUUGAGCCUGGGAGGUCAAGGUUGCAGUGAGCCGAGAUCACGCCACUGCACUCCAGCCUGGGUGACAGAGACCCUAUCUCCAAAAAAAAAAAAAAAGAAAAAGAAAAAAAA